AUGUUUGACUUCGGUGAAGAGCGAACAAGGAAAAGUGUGGAUGAGAGCCUAGAACGACUUGGCUUGCAAUACGUUGACAUCAUACAGGUUCAUGACUUGGAGUUUGCACCCCAGUGGAAGUAAUUCUCAAUGAAACACUGCCUGCCCUACAGAAAGAUAAAGGAUGCAGGCAAGGCCCACUACAUUGGCAUCACCGGUUAUCCUAUUGCUUCAUUGAGAGAGGUGAUUGAAAGGAGUCAAGUGAAGUAGAUAUCAUACUAUCCUACUGUCA